UACGAAGGGGGCUAGCGUUGUUCGGAUUUACUGGGCGUAAAGCGCACGUAGGCGGAUUGUUAAGUCGGGGGUGAAAUCCUGGAGCUCAACUCCGGAAUUGCCUUCGAUACUGGCUUUCUAGAGGCUGGAAGAGGUUAGUGGAAUUCCCAGUGUAGAGGUGAAAUUCGUAGAUAUUGGGAAGAACACCAGUGGCGAAGGCGGCUAACUGGUCCAGAUCUGACGCUGAGGUGCGAAAGCGUGGGGAGCAAACAGG
rnacentral:rRNA from 1 species